AACUACGAGUUUUAGUUCAAAAACGGUCUGUACCACGAUCGUCGAUAGCGCCAGUAGGCUUUUAAUUCUGCCUCUGCUGACCUUGUCCUUACAUACGUAAUAAACUGGAAAAUUCCUCAGUUUUCUACUUUCGGGCGCUAACAUGAUUUCGUUUUCGUAAGGUCGCAUAAACAUUUCAUUCGUUAUAAGAAAUGUUUAUAAAAAUAUCAUUUGUUGUUGCAUAUUAAGUUAAAAUGUGUUACCUACCCGUGGAUAUAACCAAUGUAGUAUUUUGUGUAAUGUGGAGCAUUUCUACAAAGUACCCAUUAAUGAAUUCAAACCACUGUCGGGAAAUUUGGAUAGUAUGUGUAGUUGGACCUUGAUUGUAAUAAUUUUGGUGUCACUCCAGAAUGAAGCCACCCACUUCAUGACCAUUGAGCAGGACUACAACAACAGGUCGUAAGGACUCUACCGUUAACUUCAGAACUCCUGCGGCACGUAUAGGAUGUCAGCUACCAUGGGAGUCCACCAACGCCAGAUAACAAACACCAUCUUCGAUGGAGUCCAUCAACAAACAAAAUCUUCUAAGGACUCUGAAGCUUACUUAAAGACUCCUGUGGCACAUAUAGGAUGUCACCUAUAAUGGGAAUCUAUAACAGAGUCCAUCAACACCAGAUAAUAAACACCACCCUUCGAUGGAGUCAAUCAAGAAGCAAAGUUGUAAUGCCUCUCAAGGUUCCUUCAGGAAUCCUGCAGCACGUAUGGGAUGUCAGCUAUCGUGGGCAUCUUUAUUGGAAUCCACCAACACCAGAUAGCAAAGACCACUCUUCGAUGGAGUCCAUCAAAGAGCAAAAUGUUGUAAGGCCUCUCAAGGUUACUUCAGGAAUCCUGCAGCACGUAUAGGAUGUUAGCUAUCGUGGGCAUUUUUGUUGGAGUCCUCAUCACCAGAUAACAAAAGCCACCCUUCGAUGUCCAUCAAUGAGCAAAAUAUUGUAAGGAUUCUGAAGUUUAUUUUAAGACUCCUGCAGCAUGUGUAGGAUGUUAGCUGACGUGGAAAUUCACCGAUACCAGAUUACGAACACCACCUUCGAUGGGGUCCAUCAACAAACAAAAUGCAGGUCAUAGCACAGAAUAGCACCAAUACCAAAUAACGAAGACGACCUUCGGUGAAGUCCAAUAGCAAACAAAAGG